AGGUCUUGUAGUUUAUUUAAAAUAUGAAGUUGCAAACUUUAGGAUACAUUAUAAUGUGUUAAGACUUU
rnacentral:tRNA from 1 species